AGCGAACGCUGGCGGCAGGCCUAACACAUGCAAGUCGAACGAACUCUUCGGAGUUAGUGGCGGACGGGUGAGUAACACGUGGGAACGUGCCUUUAGGUUCGGAAUAACUCAGGGAAACUUGUGCUAAUACCGAAUGUGCCCUUCGGGGGAAAGAUUUAUCGCCUUUAGAGCGGCCCGCGUCUGAUUAGCUAGUUGGUGAGGUAAAGGCUCACCAAGGCGACGAUCAGUAGCUGGUCUGAGAGGAUGAUCAGCCACAUUGGGACUGAGACACGGCCCAAACUCCUACGGGAGGCAGCAGUGGGUAAUUUUGCGCAAUGGGCGAAAGCCUGACGCAGCCAUGCCGCGUGAAUGAUGAAGGUCUUAGGAUUGUAAAAUUCUUUCACCGGGGACGAUAAUGACGGUACCCGGAGAAGAAGCCCCGGCUAACUUCGUGCCAGCCGCCGCGGUAA
rnacentral:rRNA from 1 species